rnacentral:rRNA from 1 species
UACGUAGGGGGCUAGCGUUGUCCGGAUUUAUUGGGCGUAAAGAGCGUGUAGGCGGCCAUGUAGGUCCGGUGUGAAAACUCGAGGCUUAACCUCGAGAUGUCAUCGGAAACCAUUUGGCUAGAGUCCGGAAGAGGCGAGUGUAAUUCCUGGUGUAGCGGUGGAAUGCGCAGAUAUCAGGAGGAACACCAAUAGCGAAGGCAGCUCGCUGGGACGGUACUGACGCUAAGGCGCGAAAGCGUGGGGAGCGAACAGG